rnacentral:rRNA from 1 species
UUGGAGGGCAAGUCUGGUGCCAGCAGCCGCGGUAAUUCCAGCUCCAAUAGCGUAUAUUAAAGUUGUUGCAGUUAAAAAGCUCGUAGUUGAAUUUCGGGACCAGUAUGUUGGUCGUGCUUCGGUACGUACUGUCAUUACUGGUUUCUCCCUUCUGAAGAACCUUGAUGUCAUUAAUUUGGUGUCUUGGGGAAUCAGGACUGUUACUUUGAAAAAUUAGAGUGUUUAAAGCAGGCAUACGCUUGAAUACAUUAGCAUGGAAUAAUGAAAUAGGACGUUUGAUUCUAUUUUGUUGGUUUCUAGGAUCGACGUAAUGAUUAAUAGGGAUAGUUGGGGGCAUUAGUAUUCAAUUGUCAGAGGUGAAAUUCUUGGAUUUAUUGAAGACUAACUACUGCGAAAGCAUUUGCCAAGGAUGUUUUCAUUAAUCAAGAACGAAAGUUAGGGGAUCGAAGACGAUCAGAUACCGUCGUAGUCUUAACCAUAAACUAUGCCGACUAGGGAUCGGAUGAUGUUAUUUUAAUGACUCAUUCGGCGCCUUACGGGAAAC